rnacentral:misc_RNA from 1 species
AACCUAGCACACCUGCGGUGUGUACCUGCGGAAGGAUCAUUAACGAGUUACCACUCUAUAACCCUUUGUGAACUUACCUACAUGUUGCUUCGGCGGUCGGCCCCCCCGGGCCCCCGGCCCCGCUCACGCGGGGCGUCCGCCGGAGGAUAACCAAACUCUGAUUUAACGACGUUUCUUCUGAGUGGCACAAGCAAAUAAUCAAAACUUUCAGCAAUGGAUCU